rnacentral:rRNA from 1 species
AUCCUAGCUGUAAACGAUGCUGACUAGGUGUGGGAGGUAUCGACCCCUCCCGUGCCGCCGCUAACGCAUUAAGUCAGCCGCCUGGGGGAGUACGGCCGCAAGGUUAAAACUCAAAGGAAUUGACGGGGGCCCCGCACAAGCGGUGGAGCAUGUGGUUUAAUUCGACGCUACGCGAAGAACCUUACCUGGGCUCGAACGACUGGUAGUAGUCCCGAUGAAAGUUGGGGCGACCCGCAAGGGAGCCAGCCGAGGUGCUGCAUGGCUGUCGU